rnacentral:rRNA from 1 species
GAUGAACGCUGGCGGCGUGCCUAAUACAUGCAAGUCGAGCGAACAGAUGAGGUGCUUGCUCCUCGGACGUUAGCGGCGGACGUGUUAGUAACGCAUGUGUAACCUAGCUAUAAGACUGGCAUAACUACGGGAAACCGGAGCUCAUACCGGAUAAUAUAGUGAACCGCAUGGUUCACUAGUGAAAUACGCUUUUGCUGUCACGUAUAGAUGGUUCCGCGUCGCAUUAGCUAUUUGGUAAGGUCACGGCUUACCAAGGCGACGAGGCGUAGCCGACCUGAGAGGACGAACAGCCACACUGGGAAUGAGACACGGCCCAGACUCCUACGCGAGGCGGCAGUGGGGAAUUUUGGACAAUGGGCGCACGCCUGAUCCAGCAAUGCCGAGUGCGGGAAGAAGGCCUUCGGGUUGUAAACCGCUUUUGUACGGAACGAAAAGGCUCUGGCUAAUACCUGGGGCUGAUGACGGUACCGGAAGAAUAAGCACCGGCUAACUACGUG